rnacentral:tRNA from 1 species
GAUUAGCUCAGUUGGCUAGAGCGCCUGCUUUACACGCAGGAGGUCACAGGUUCAAGUCCUGUAUCGCC